AGAUUGAACGCUGGCGGCAGGCCUAACACAUGCAAGUCGAGCGGUAGAGAGGUGCUUGCAUCUCUUGAGAGCGGCGGACGGGUGAGUAAUGCCUAGGAAUCUGCCUAGUGGUGGGGGAUAACGUUCGGAAACGGACGCUAAUACCGCAUACGUCCUACGGGAGAAAGCGGGGGACCUUCGGGCCUCGCGCCAUUAGAUGAGCCUAGGUCGGAUUAGCUAGUUGGUGAGGUAAUGGCUCACCAAGGCGACGAUCCGUAACUGGUCUGAGAGGAUGAUCAGUCACACUGGAACUGAGACACGGUCCAGACC
rnacentral:rRNA from 1 species